AUUUUCUCCGACGUUAGUUAACAGUUAACAAUAAUAAUUAUUUCAUAAGUUUCUUUAAUAAGUUGAAUAUAAAAAGUAUAAGCUCAAAAAUCAAGAAAAUUAAUAAUAUAGGGGAAACAUUGCCAAGUGUAAUAUUACGAAUCCCUUAUUAAUCGAAUUCAAUGAAAAUACAAAAGUCUUUUAGUGAAAUUCGAUUUAAAUGUACCCAAGUGACAACAAAUAGCUCUAGUAUGAUUAGUUUUUAAGCAAU